rnacentral:tRNA from 1 species
GCCGGUUUAGCUCAGUUGGUAGAGCGCCCUGCCUUGUAAGCAGGAUGUCAGCGGUUCGAUUCCGUUAAUCGGCACCA